rnacentral:rRNA from 1 species
GAUGAACGCUGGCGGCGUGCUUAACACAUGCAAGUCGAACGAUGAUCCCAGCUUGCUGGGGGAUUAGUGGCGAACGGGUGAGUAACACGUGAGUAACCUGCCCUUGACUCUGGGAUAAGCCUGGGAAACAGGGUCUAAUACCGGAUAUGCCUCCUCAUCGCAUGGUGGGGGGUGGAAAGCUCUUGUGGUUUUGGAUGGACUCGCGGCCUAUCAGCUUGUCGGUGGGGUAAUGGCCUACCAAGGCGACGACGGGUAGCCGGCCUGAGAGGGUGACCGGCCACACUGGGACUGAGACACGGCCCAGACUCCUACGGGAGGCAGCAGUGGGGAAUAUUGCACAAUGGGCGCAAGCCUGAUGCAGCGACGCCGCGUGAGGGAUGACGGCCUUCGGGUUGUAAACCUCUUUCAGUAGGGAAGAAGCGUAAGUGACGGUACCUGCAGAAGAAGCGCCGGCUAACUACGUGCCAGCAGCCGCGGUAA